rnacentral:rRNA from 1 species
AUGGAGAAGACGGUCGUUCUGUACCCCGGCCUCGCCGUGAGCCACUGCGUCCCCAUGAUGCAGCUCGCCGCGCCCCUCCUCGAGCACGGCUACGCCGUCUCCGUCGCGCUCAUCGACCCCGCCGUCAAGGACGACAUCGCCUUCGGCGCCGUCGUGUCCCGCGUCGCCGCCUCCAUGCCGUCCGUCCGCUUCCACACGCUCCCGACCGUGGAGGACGUGCCCGAUCUAACCCAGGACACGCAGUUCCCCGCCGGCUACCUCGAGCUCAUACGCCGCUACAACGAGCGCCUCCACGACUUCCUCUGCUCCAUGCGCCCCCGGAGCGUCCAUGCCGUGGUCGUCGACUCGCUGUCCAGCGAGGCGCUCGGCGUGGUAAAGAGGCUCGGGAUCCCCGGCUACAACUUGUUCACCUCCAGCGCCUCCGUCCUCGCCGCCUUCGCCCAGCUUCCGACACUUCUCGCAGAGGGCGGGACGAGCUUCAAGGAGCUAGGAGACACCCCUCUCCAGCUCUUCGGCCUUCCACCCAUGCCGGCUUCACACCUAAUGGCCGAACUGCUUGAGGACCCGGAGAGCGACAAGUAUAAGGCGAUGAUGGCCUCGCUGCCCCGGAUCCUGGAGGCCGACGGCACGCUGGUGAACACGCUCGAGUCAUUGGAGGCUCGGGGGGUGGCUGCUCUCAGGGACCCUCGGUGUGUCCUCGGCCGGGUAUUGCCUCCGGUGUACUGCGUCGGGCCAUUUGUCGGCAGCAUCGCCGUCGCCGAGGCAAAAGAGCGGCACGAGUGCCUCCCUUGGCUAGACGGCCAACCUGACCGGAGCGUCGUGUUCCUCUGCUUCGGGAGCAUCGGCAUAGGAAACCACUCCGAGGAGCAGCUCAGGGAGAUCGCCGUCGGGCUAGACAAGUCCGGCCACCGCUUCCUGUGGGUUGUGCGAGCCCCAGUCAGCGACGACCCGGAGAAGCCGCUCGACCCCUGUGCCGACCCGGACAUCGACGCGCUCCUACCGGACGGGUUCAUGGAGCGCACCAAUGGCCGUGGCCUCGUCGUCAAGCUGUGGGCACCGCAGGCGGACGUUCUCCGCCACAAGGCCACCGGGGCGUUCGUGACGCACUGCGGAUGGAACUCGGUGCUGGAGGGCGUCACGGCGGGAGUGCCGAUGCUGUGCUGGCCGCUGUACGCGGAGCAGAAGAUGAACAAGCUGUUCAUGGUGGGGGACAUGGGGAUCGCCGUAGAGAUGGUCGGGUGGCAGCACGGGCUGGUCAAGGCCGGCGAGGUGGAGGCCAAGGUAAGGCUUGUCAUGGAUUCCGAGGAGGGCAGAGAGCUCAGGGCGCGGGUCGCGGCGAAUAAGGAAGACGCCAUGGCAGCUUGGAACGACGGCGGGUCGUCGCGGGUGGCGUUUGCCCAUUUUUUGGCGGACGUGGCCAGCCAACAGGAUCGGGCUUGCACUCGGGAAGGAAUGGGACUCAGUGAUGCGUGA